CCCAGAAGACUGCUUUCUUCAAUAAAUUAAUAGAUAGCAUUACAUGUCUUUAAGCUAGUGGACUAUUUGAGAACAUAAUUGACCUUGCAGAUUUUACACAAAGAAACUUGAUAUGAAUGCAUUAGACUUGAGAUUUUGAUGGUGGUGAAGAUAUAUAUUAUGAUAUUCUGGUUUACAAGGCUGCAUAGCCUGCUAGGUAUCUCCCAGCACAUCAAAGGAAUAUAUUACAUCAACAAUAUGGAUAGAAAUAAUUACAAAAAUCUUGCUAUGCGGAGGGUUGAGGCAGUACUGAUAUUUUGAUGUCUUAUAAAUAAAACACAUAAGAAUUAUAAGCGGGUCAGUGAACGUGCAAAGGAAACACGUUUAUCAAGACUGAUUUAACUAGGACACAGCAAAGCAACUGUCCCGGGGCUCCAUGUUUAACUUCUCAUCUUUCACAGUAGAUUCAUCUUUUAUUCCAGUUUCCACCACAUUCACAUCCCAUUCAUAAUAAAAUACCCUGCAAGUAUGUGUACAUGAACAAUUGUGUACAUCAGUGCCAGGCUACCUGAAUCUGGCACAGCCUUAUACAGAAGUGAGAGAAUAUUCUCAAGAAAUUCUCUCUGACAUCCUAGAUAAGUCUACCAUACUUUCAUGAGAAGAUCCCGAUUUAGUUAAGGGUCUACAUUUCAGCACAAUAUGUUAGUCCUGGUUUAAAAUACACUUCUAUUGACUGCUGGUUUCCAUUGCCUCUGUUCCGUAACAUUCUCUUUGUAAUUUGAUAAAUUCAGAAUAUGGUGUAUUCUGAAAUAUGUUUCCACAGUAUAUCUACAAAUGUAGUGAUGGUAUGUGAGAAACUUGCAGCAUGUCAAGAUGACUGGUUUGAGGUAGAAACUUGUAGUGUGGGCUAUAUGAAUGAAUGAAUAAAUAAAUAAAUAAUAAAGUAUUGUUGCAUUGACAGUAAAAAUUAUAUAUGUUCAUUUAAAUGUAGUGAGCUGUGGAAAACUUCAAUUACUGAUACACUCCUUUACCAAUUUUUGCUUUCACAAUCAUAACGGUGAGAAAAUAAUGUAUUACAUUCACAACAAAUUAAGAGGUAAAUAGAAACUUGAUGUUUUUAUCACGCAUUUAGUGCAUGAGAAAGUCCAAUAUGAUCCAUUCCAAAUUUGCUUACACAUCUCUCUUAGCAUCUUAUGAAAACCAAUCAAGAGUUUAAGACAGUGUUACAAUUAAUUAUUAACACAUCAAUGUUACUUUUUAGUCUUUUAUGUAAGAUAUGUUCAAUCAUCGCAAAUAACUGAUAAUUCUUAACUACAGAAUGUUUAACAAAAGCUCACCAGCCUGCCAUCACUUGAAAACAGCCCAUGGUCCACAAGCAAAAAUAAUUACUUACUCCAGCUUCAAAUGACCAUGGAAAAUUAUGGAAAACUGUUCCAGUAUCACAGUCUCAGAAGUAUUCAAACAACAUAUGUGAGUGAUAAAGGUCUUACACUGAACCAGAUCUCAGGUUUAUGUCCACUUAUCACAUUCUCUAUGCUGGGUCCAGUCUAGCUGUGAAAUUCCAACUGGGGACCAGGGCUCUGAUAACAUGUUGACUAGUCUGGAUCUCGGGGAUGAUAAUGCAGUUCUCAACUUGCAAAAACAAAGUGCAGAUACUAAUCAAGGAUAAUAAAAACCCUAAUAAUUUUUGGGAUUACUGGGGUUUUGGACUUUGUUACAUACCAUUAUCAGAACCCUUCCAGUAGGAGUUGGUACAAAACCUGUUCCAGGUUUGUCUCUUUCAUUGCUUUCUAAAUCAUUUUCAUUUCUGUUUAAAUCACAAUUGUAACACUAUAAUCUCCCACUCUCUCUCCAAGUUUCAAUAACUUCUCCUCUGUGCAGAAUACACUAACAUUACUCCUCACAAUCUCACAUCCCAUCAAGCUGAACUUUUCAACCAUCAUAAAAAAUUCACCUCUGCAGCUUGCUGAGAGAGAGAGCACAAUGCACCAACUACUCUGGUGUAAAUAUGAGAUACUACAUGCUUUCAAAAAAGGGGAAAGUCAUCUUUAUUUGAGUAUAUACAUUAACACGAAAAAAAUGUCAAUACCCUAGGAUGAAAGACAUUAGGCUUAUUUAAAUAUGCUACAUUAUGAAAAAACAAAGUAAGUAAUAGUUGUCUGAACAAUUUUCAUAUUUUUAAAAAGAUGCAUUUGCAUUUGAUAAUGAAAAAUAAAACUGACAGAAAAUUUAAAGGCACAAAACCAAAUAGAAACAGAAAUCUAAGCUGACCUAAAAUU